AGAGUUUGAUCCUGGCUCAGAUUGAACGCUGGCGGCAUGCUUUACACAUGCAAGUCGAGCGGCAGCGCGGGGGCAACCCUGGCGGCGAGCGGCGGACGGGUGAGUAAUGCAUCGGAACGUAUCCCGUAGUGGGGGACAACCCAGCGAAAGCUGGGCUAAUACCGCAUACGCUCUACGGAGGAAAGUGGGGGACUCGCAAGGGCCUCACGCUAGGGGAGCGGCCGAUGUCCGAUUAGCUGGUUGGUGAGGUAAAGGCUUACCAAGGCGACGAUCGGUAGCUGGUCUGAGAGGAUGAUCAGCCACACUGGGACUGAGACACGGCCCAGACUCCUACGGGAGGCAGCAGUGGGGAAUUUUGGACAAUGGGGGCAACCCUGAUCCAGCCAUGCCGCGUGCGGGAAGAAGGCCUUCGGGUUGUAAACCGCUUUUGUUCGGGAAGAAAAGGCGUCCACUAAUAGUGGGCGUUCUUGACGGUACCGGAAGAAUAAGCACCGGCUAACUACGUGCCAGCAGCCGCGGUAAUACGUAGGGUGCGAGCGUUAAUCGGAAUUACUGGGCGUAAAGCGUGCGCAGGCGGUGAGUUAAGUCUGAUGUGAAAGCCCCGGGCUCAACCUGGGAAUGGCAUUGGAAACUGGCUCGCUGGAGUGUGGCAGAGGGGGGUGGAAUUCCGCGUGUAGCAGUGAAAUGCGUAGAGAUGCGGAGGAACACCGAUGGCGAAGGCAGCCCCCUGGGCCAACACUGACGCUCAGGCACGAAAGCGUGGGGAGCAAACAGGAUUAGAUACCCCCGUAGUCC
rnacentral:rRNA from 1 species